GACGAGGGAUGCAAGCGUUAUCCGGAUUCAUUGGGUUUAAAGGGAGCGUAGGCGGACUGAUAAGUCAGUGGUGAAAUCUUUGGGCUUAACCCAGAAACUGCCAUUGAUACUGUUAGUCUAGAGUACAGUUGCCGUUGGCGGAAUAUGACAUGUAGUGGUGAAAUACUUAGAUAUGUCAUAGAACACCGAUUGCGAAGGCAGCUAACGAAGCUGUAACUGACGCUGAGGCUCGAAAGUGCGGGGAUCAAACAGG
rnacentral:rRNA from 1 species